AUGAGCUUCUCUCUCGAUCUAUUCAAUAUGGUGGUCAAUCAAGAAAUGUUUUUGCUUGCAAAAAGAUCGUAAAAUGUUGGCGCUACAAGCUCGGAAAAGAAGGAAGCAUCCAAACAAAUUCAUUUGUAACAUGGUGGAUAACAAAGUCCCUUUUGAAAACCUACUUCAGUCAUUUGACGAUUAAAAGUCCAGCGAGAAAUGAAGUGAAAGGCGAUUUGAAAACCACGAGAUUGGUUGCGAUCGAAGGUGGACAGCAAGAUCGAAGCUCAGCAAGAUUGAAGAUUGUUCGAAGAAGAAGGAGUUCGCCGUUGACUAAAAGGUUUAUCUGAACAGCUAGUUGUCAAGAUGAAUGCGAAGACUCGCCCGGCCAAAUUCAAAAUGGCGAUGCCAAAGAAAACCAUCCACCUGGACCGUUCGCAGACCUUUCUGGGCAAGAUUGUUGUGCUGUCUGGUCAAAGUUAAGUAUUUUACUUUGAUGUUUGUGUGUCUUCGGCUAAUUGUUGGCCAGAAAUGACAAAAAGCCAUAUACAAUAUGAAAUAUUCUGCGUACAAGGAUAUAUCUAAAAUUUCGAACUUAAUUCUGCCUGCAAUGAUGAUAAUUUUUUACUGAAAAUUUAUGUCAUGAGCAACUUCCGCACCUAUAGACUGAAGCAGAACUGAACAUUUUGUCAUUAACGUUUAUCUCAACAGCCAGUUAUCAAGACGAACGUCAAGAGAACAGUUGAAAUAG
rnacentral:lncRNA from 1 species